rnacentral:lncRNA from 1 species
AGCGGACUCGGCCUGCGCCUUCGCCCUCGCCGUCGCCCCUCCUCCUGGGUGGACAGCUGCUAGGGCGCGCCGGGACCUCGUCUUAAAAAUAAAAUAGCGAAGGGUUUGGGUCCUGGAAACUUUCCGCAUGCACGUCUGUCUUCAACUUAAAGGACUUCCUAGCAGUCCUCGCGCGUCUCUGGGAUGCUGCGACAUUGUCAGCUUGUCCUCGGAUUGGAGCUUAGUGUCAGAACUUUCUUCACUGCGUAAUGAAAACACAGUUGGAGAAGUUGUUCCUGCGCGUCGCUUUUCUGGAACCAACCCAGUGUGGGCUUUUAUAAUAACAUUCAGCAGAGCGGCUCUUUCCCCGCCUUAUCCAACAGCCACCUCUAAUCUAAAGCAGCACUUUAAAGAGCCCGUCGAUUUUAAAAGGCACGAAGUUACAAAACGACGUCAUUAGCGUCUGCUUUCAAUUUCUCAGUCGGCUGGGAGUUGGAAGGAGGCUGUCAUGCCCCUUCUGAGCUUCCCAGCGCUCAGGUAGUAGAAUAAAAGACUCGGCUUCAGCUCAUUGGUACUUCCAGCCUCGCCCUCCGACUAGUUCCAGGAAAUGUCUUCCUUUUGUAAAAAAUGUCUGAGUCAGAGCCUUCUGGGCGGCAGGACAGAGCUAGAGGGUAGCGUCUGGAGGUAGAAAAGGCUCCGAGUUGACAUCAGCGGUCCUUCUAAGUGCCCUGCCCCUCAGGGACGCCAGUUGAUUCCUAGAAGACCCGGAGUCCUCAUCUACCGAAGAGGAGAUUGGGAAGUCUGUUUUAGAAGGUGCUGCAAGGUCAGACGUGAGAGUGAUUUAUAAUAAUAAUAAUAAUAAAAAUCUUCUCAAUGGCUAUCCUCUUUUUGUUUUUUAA